UAGGGAAUCUUCGGCAAUGGACGGAAGUCUGACCGAGCAACGCCGCGUGGGUGAAGAAGGUUUUCGGAUCGUAAAGCUCUGUUGUAAGAGAAGAACGAGUGUGAGAGUGGAAAGUUCACACUGUGACGGUAUCUUACCAGAAAGGGACGGCUAACUACGUGCCAGCAGCCGCGGUAAUACGUAGGUCCCGAGCGUUGUCCGGAUUUAUUGGGCGUAAAGCGAGCGCAGGCGGCUAGAUAAGUCUGAAGUUAAAGGCUGUGGCUUAACCAUAGUAGGCUUUGGAAACUGUUUAACUUGAGUGCAAGAGGGGAGAGUGGAAUUCCAUGUGUAGCGGUGAAAUGCGUAGAUAUAUGGAGGAACACCGGUGGCGAAAGCGGCUCUCUGGCUUGUAACUGACGCUGAGGCUCGAAAGCGUGGGGAGCAAACAGGAUUAGAUACCCUGGUAGUCCACGCUGUAAACGAUGAGUGCUAGGUGUUAGACCCUUUCCGGGGUUUAGUGCCGUAGCUAACGCAUUAAGCACUCCGCCUGGGGAGUACGACUGCAAGGUUG
rnacentral:rRNA from 1 species